rnacentral:rRNA from 1 species
GGUUGACCUCGGAUCAGGUAGGGAUACCCGCUGAACUUAAGCAUAUCAAUAAGCGGAGGAAAAGAAACCAACAGGGAUUGCCUCAGUAACGGCGAGUGGAGCGGCAAGAGCUCAAAUUUGAAAUCUGGCCCCCUCGGGGUCCGAGUUGUAAUUUGCAGAGGAUGCUUCGGGUGCGGCCCCCGUCUAAGUGCCCUGGAACGGGCCGUCAUAGAGGGUGAGAAUCCCGUCUGGGACGGGGUGUCCGCGUCCGUGUGAAGCUCCUUCGACGAGUCGAGUUGUUUGGGAAUGCAGCUCUAAAUGGGUGGUAAAUUUCAUCUAAAGCUAAAUACUGGCCGGAGACCGAUAGCGCACAAGUAGAGUGAUCGAAAGAUGAAAAGCACUUUGAAAAGAGAGUUAAAAAGCACGUGAAAUUGUUGAAAGGGAAGCGCUUGCGACCAGACUCGCCCGCGGGGUUCAGCCGGCAUUCGUGCCGGUGUACUUCCCCGUGGGCGGGCCAGCGUCGGUUUGGGCGGCCGGUCAAAGGCCCCCGGAAUGUAGCACCCUUCGGGGUGCCUUAUAGCCGGGGGUGCAAUGCGGCCAGCCUGGACCGAGGAACGCGCUUCGGCACGAACGCUGGCAUAAUGGUCGUAAACGACC